rnacentral:rRNA from 1 species
GACGAACGCUGGCGGCGUGCUUUACACAUGCAAGUCGAACGAGAACCUUCCUUCGGGAAGCAGAGAGUGGCGAACGGGUGAGUAACACGUGGGCAACCUACCCCUCACACUGGGAUAACCUCGGGAAACCGGGGCUAAUACCGGAUACUCACGACCUCGGGCAUCCGAGGACGUGGAAAGGAUUCUGGUGAGGGAUGGGCCCGCGGCCUAUCAGUUUGUUGGUGGGGUAAUGGCCUACCAAGACGACGACGGGUAGCCGGCCUGAGAGGGCGACCGGCCACACUGGGACUGAGACACGGCCCAGACUCCUACGGGAGGCUGCAGUGGGGAAUAUUGCGCAAUGGACGAAAGUCUGACGCAGCAACGCCGCGUGAGGGAUGAAGUACAUCGAGAUGUAAACCUCUUUCAGUAGGGACGAAGCGAAAGUGACGGUACCUGCAAAAGAAGCGCCGGCUAACUACGUG